GUAGGGUAAGGGCUUACCAAGGCAAUGAUGCAUAGCCGACUUGAGAGGGUAAUCGGCCACAUUGGGACUGAGACACGGCCCAUACUCUUACGGGAGGCAGCAGUAGGGAUUCUUCCACAAUGGGCGAAAUCCUGAUGGAGCAACGCCGCGUGAGUGAAGAAGGGUUUCGGUUCGUAAAAUUCUGUUGUAAGAGAAGAACAACGGUGAGAGUAUCUGUUCGCCCCGUGACGGUAUCUAACCAGAAAGCCACGGCUAACUACGUGCCAGCAGCCGCGGUAAUACGUAGGUGGCAAGCGUUAUCCGGAUUUAUUGGGCGUAAAGCGAGCGCAGGCGGUUUUUUAAGUCUGAUGUGAAAGCCCUCGGCUCAACCGAGAGGUUCAU
rnacentral:rRNA from 1 species